UUUCGCCUAGUUAUAUGCACCGCACUGGAUUCGAUUGCUGCAGCACUAAAUCUCCGUCGCUAAGACGCAUUCCAGCGGGGCACGAAAGCAAAUUCGGUAGGAAACGGUCCAGGGAGCACACAGGUUGAUGGGGGCGGACGCUCGAAAGCGGAAAAAGGCAAUCACCACCAUCCCCAGUCUCCUCUCCACCAGCUGAUCGCAUGCUUCCAACGUGGGGCGGAGAGCGGAUACCUGGAAGAAGCGCGCAACGUUGUUAGCUGGGACAGAACGCUAGAAAGAGCUCGCGGUGACGAGACCUAUGUUCAAUAAAGAAUCCUAAAC